rnacentral:rRNA from 1 species
GACAGCGGCGAACGGGUGAGUAACACGUGGAUAACCUGCCCUCGGCACCGGGAUAGCCCGGGGAAACCCGGAUUAAUACCGGAUGGCCCUUCCGACUCUCGAGUCGGUCGGAAAAGGUAGCUUCGGCCUCCGGCCGAGGAUGGGUCCGCGGCGGAUUAGCUUGUUGGUGGGGUAAUGGCUCACCAAGGCUCCGAUCCGUAGCUGGUCUGAGAGGACGAUCAGCCACACUGGGACUGAGACACGGCCCAGACUCCUACGGGAGGCAGCAGUGGGGAAUCUUGCGCAAUGGGCGAAAGCCUGACGCAGCGACGCCGCGUGAGGGAAGAAGGCCUUCGGGUUGUAAACCUCUUUCAGCAGGGACGAAGCUACUCGGGUGAACAGCCCAGAGGGUGACGGUACCUGUAGAAGAAGCCCCGGCUAACUACGUGCCAGCAGCCGCGGUAAUACGUAGGGGGCAAGCGUUGUCCGGAUUUACUGGGCGUAAAGAGCGUGUAGGCGGCCAAGCAGGUCUGUUGUGAAAACUGGAGGCUCAACCUCCAGACGUCGACAGAAACCGCUUGGCUAGAGUCCGGAAGAGGAGAGUGGAAUUCCUGGUGUAGCGGUGAAAUGCGCAGAUAUCAGGAAGAACACCAAUGGCGAAGGCAGCUCUCUGGGACGGUACUGACGCUGAGACGCGAAAGCGUGGGGGAGCGAACAGGAUUAGAUACCCUGGUAGUCCACGCCGUAAACGAUGGGUGCUAGGUGUGGGAGGUGUCGACUCCUUCCGUGCCGCAGCUAACGCAUUAAGCACCCCGCCUGGGGAGUACGGCCGCAAGGCUAAAACUCAAAGGAAUUGACGGGGCCCCGCACAAGCAGCGGAGCAUGUUGUUUAAUUCGAUGCAACGCGAAGAACCCUUACCAGGGCUUGACAUGCCACUGGAAAACCGUAGAAAUACGUCCUCCUUCGGGACCAGUGCCACAGGUGGAUGCAUGCUGUCGUCAGCUCCGUGUUCGUGAGAUGUUGGGUUAGGUCCCCGCACGAGCGCCACCCCCUGUCCAUUGUUGGCCAGCGAGUUAUGUCGGAACUCAUGGAACUGCGGUUACAUUCGAGAGGUGUAUGAUGUCAGUCAUCAUGCCCCUUUAUAGUUUCCGUGGGCUCUAUCAAUGUCCUGGGCUACAAACGUGCUACAUUGGCCGGUACAAAGGGCUGCAAACUCGCGAGGGUGAGCGAAUCCCAAAAAGCCGGUCCCGGUUCGGAUUGAAGGCUGAAACUCGCCUUCAUGAAGGCGGAGUUGCUAGUAAUCGCGGAUCAGCAACGCCGCGGUGAAUACGUACACGGGGCUUGUACACACCGCCCGUCACACCACGAAAGUCGGCAAUACCCGAAGCCGGUGAGCUAACCGCAAGGAGGCAGCCGUCGAAGGUAGGGUCGAUGAUUGGGGUGAAGUCGUAACAAGGUAGCCGUA